rnacentral:rRNA from 1 species
UACGAAGGGGGCUAGCGUUGCUCGGAAUCACUGGGCGUAAAGGGCGCGUAGGCGGGCUCUUAAGUCAGGGGUGAAAUCCUGGAGCUCAACUCCGGAACUGCCUUUGAUACUGAAGAUCUUGAGUUCGGGAGAGGUGAGUGGAACUGCGAGUGUAGAGGUGAAAUUCGUAGAUAUUCGCAAGAACACCAAUGGCGAAGGCAGCAUCCUGGGAAGUACCUGACGCUCAGGUGCGAAAGCCAGGGGAGCGAACGGG